AGAGUACCCCAGGUGGGAGCCGUUGCCCAUGUGGAGCUAAUGAGAUCUCGUUAUUGGCCCCACCUGUGCUGGGGGAAUGCUGGGAGACACCAGAACACUCUAGAACCCUCCUGGAACACAGCACAACCCUUUUGGAACACACCACAACCCUCCCUCAUCACCUACUGCUGCAGGAGUCUCCUGCUCUGCAUGUUCUGAGCUCCUGUUGUGCUUCCAAAGUGGUGUAACUCUCCAUUCCUGUUGGCAUCAUCUGAGAUUGAGUCCUCGGGAACAUACGGAGUGCACGGAGUGAGAAUGGAUUCCGUGACGCUCUUCGUGUCUGCUGGCUGGGAAGUAAUUGCAGCAGAAAAAGAAGAAAUCACCAACUUGUACUGGCAUGUUCUUCUGCCUGCUUAGAUUUAUAAAUUUUCCAUCAGAAGACUUUAAAACACUUCUGGGAGGUGGAUGUCAUUGUCCUGUUCUUGUAGAAAAGGAAACUGAGGCAGAAGGACACAGAAUGACUUUUACCACAGUCACACUGGAAAUCACUGUAGAGGCAGAAGGGAAUCCUGAUUUUCCCAGAUCCACAUCAGAUCUUAAUCUACUACUGGUCUGACCUAUUGGAGGCCAGAUUUAAAUUGAUAUAAAUAAAACUCAGUAUGUGCCCAGGAA